AACUAACGCUGGCGGCGCGUCUUAAACAUGCAAGUCGAGCGGUAAGGCCCGCAAGGGUACACGAGCGGCAAACGGGUGAGUAACACGUAGGUAAUCUUCCCUUCAGUGGGGGACAACCUGCCGAAAGGCAGGCUAAUACCCCAUAUUUCCAGUCCUUCCACGGUGGGAUUGUAGAAAGCAGCAAUGCGCUGAAGGAUGAGCCUGCGGCUGAUUAGCUUGUUGGCGGGGUAACGGCCCACCAAGGCGACGAUCAGUAGCCGGCCUGAGAGGGUGUCCGGCCACACUGGGACUGAGACACGGCCCAGACUCCUACGGGAGGCAGCAGUUAAGAAUCUUGCGCAAUGGGCGCAAGCCUGACGCAGCGACGCCGCGUGCGCGAUGAAGG
rnacentral:rRNA from 1 species